GCUGGGUGUGGUGGCGGGUGCCUGUAGUCCUAGCUACUCGGGAGGCUGAGGCAGGAGAAUCACUUGAACUCAGGAGGCAGAGAUUGCAGUGAGCCGAGAUUGCGCCACUGCACUCCAGCCUGGGUGACAGAGUGAGACUCUGUCUCAA
ensembl:misc_RNA Metazoa_SRP Metazoan signal recognition particle RNA